CAGGUCCAAACAGAACUCGGAACCCUGGAGUCACUGGGCACCACAGUCCAGCGACGGCUGCCUAACAGUCACUUGGCUGGAGAGAGUCAGCAGCAACUCAUGCUGUGCUGCUUUCCCAGGCCUUGAAGCUGCAGCAACAGGACCCUGCGCAGGGAAAGCACUUGGGCGUGAGUGAGAGGAUGGAUGGCUAAGUCCCCGCGCUUCAGGCCACUCACCAGGAACUGCCUGGCCAUCAGGGGCAGCACAGGGCGGGUCUCACCAGACCCGGAGACCUGGGGACCUGAGAUGAGCGGGAGCCCAGGGCAGAUCUCCCUGGACCUGGACACCAGACACUUGGGCCCACCGAGUCCAGGACAGGUCCAGUUAGGCCCGGCCACCACUAUUGGGGCCCAACGGGAGGAGAGCCGGGCAGAGGACUGCAUGGUGAGGACGGUGCUGGCAGGCAUGCAGCGGCCCCUGAGGGAGCCCCCAGAAUGGGACUUCCUGGACAGCCGCCCCAUCCGCACAGACUCCCUCCUGGACCCCUCUGGGGCCUGCAUUCCCGCCCUGCAGGAGGGAAUGGUGCGAAGGCGAGCUCUGUGGUCGGCACCCAGGGGCACUUGGCCACUGUGGCCCCAAGUCUUUGGAAGGUCCUCCUUUUUUGUCCUCCACUUCUUGGUGGAGCUGCACUCCCAGGAGAAUCCACCAGCUGAACUCCUGGCCCAGCUGGAGCAAGCUGAGUCCACUGAGGCACAGCCCACGGGAUCAGCUCCAGCCCCAGCUGAAGUCCCACGUGCGGAGCCCGAGCCAGCUCCACCUGCAGCUUCCUGCCCAGGCUGGGACCACAGCCAGAGUCCGUGGCAGCCUCUUCACCUGCUGCAGUGCUGGGGCACCCGGUGGUUGCACGGCAGUCGGUGUCAUCUCCUGAGCUCCACCUGGGGCCAGCUCCUGGCCCCCUCCCACUGUUUCCCUCACUUAUGCUGGCUCUUGUUUUGGUAUUUCUUGGAUUUAUAUAAAUAAUAGAACUAGCUUUUAAUAAAACUUAAAAUUUUAGUGUUUAAAAGGG
rnacentral:lncRNA from 1 species